AGACGUCUCGCAUGAUAUACCAGGAUCAACAGGCUCUCUCAGGGUGAGGCCUGUGCCUUGCACUCUGGGCAGGCUGACCCCUGAGUUUCCCAAAUGCGGGAAAUAUGACUACACAAUACUGUGCCAAUGGGGAAUUGCAUUUGCGCUUUCCCUC
rnacentral:snRNA from 1 species